rnacentral:lncRNA from 1 species
AUGACAGGUUCUGAGCCCCAAACAGGAGGCAGAGCAGUCUCUGUUGCCUCCUGGGGAGGUGCCCCGUGUGGGUCAGAGCCACGCCAGCUCCCACCGGGCUCGCCCUGGCAGGGCGCAGGCGAGGCGAUGCCGGCACAUCAAGGGCGCCAAGAAACGCCAGCUGCAACUCAACCCGGGCUGCGGCCGGGCGACGGCUGCCAGUUUCCAGGGAUCCGGUUUCCCCGCUCUCCUCCGAGCCCCGCUGGGGCUGCAGGGUGGCCGUGGGGCAGUGGAAAAUACGCGGCCCUGGCGUUGUGCAGCGCUGACAUCCAGCCGAGGCCGAGCGGGGAUGUCGUGAGCCGCUCCCGGCACGCUGCCCCCGAGCAAGUGAGCAGGAGCGGGGAUGCUGCAGGGCCAAACGGGACCCUCUGCCCCGCUGGGGGGCUGAGCGCAGCCUUUCCUCCCUUUGCUCCUUCCACUCCAAUGAAACCCAGUGUGUUCCGGGAAGCGAGCUCACCGGAGCCACAACUUCCCAUCCCCGCAUCCCGCAGCCAACCCGCUCCUGCUCAGCAUCCCCUGCACGGCGCAGCCCGUAGGGUGCGGGCACUUUCAAAAGAGGGGGAAAAAAAAACAUCAUACCGUCUCACGCCCACCACCGCUGCGAGGCCGGAGGUGAUCUCCAGCACCGCGCCGCACCCCGAACACGGAGCAACCCGAGCACCAAGCGCUGCGAGCACGGAGCCCCCCGACCAACACCUCCCCGAAGCGGGGCCCCAAAGCCGCUCGCCCCCCGCUGCAGCCCCCGACCCACCUGCACCGGCCCGAGGCUGUGCGGAGCGCCGCCGAGCUGCGAACCUCGGGGCUGCCGACGGCUGCGUCCUGCUCGGCUCGGCACGGCUCGGCACGGUGGAGGCGGGCGGCGGGGAGGGGCCGGGGCGGCCCCGCUCCUCCCGCCCGGCUCGGCGUCUCCCCGCCGGGGUCCCGGUUUCCCUCGGUCCCGGCUUUAAUCCGGGGGCCGGGAGCUCCCUGUCCCACCCACAGACCCUGCGGCCCCCGGCAUCCUCACUCCUUCUCUUUCCCUCUCGCCUCCCGCAGCCCCGGCGCACGCGUUAA